UACGUAGGGAGCAAGCGUUGUUCGGAUUUACUGGGCGUAAAGGGCGCGUAGGCGGCAAAUUAAGUCAGCUGUGAAAUCUCCGAGCUUAACUCGGAACGGUCAGCUGAUACUGAUCUGCUAGAGUGCGGAAGGGGCAAUCGGAAUUCUUGGUGUAGCGGUGAAAUGCGUAGAUAUCAGAAGGAACGCCGGUGGCGAAAGCGACGCACUGGAUCUCUACUGACGCUGAGGCGCGAAAGCCAGGGGAGCGAACGGG
rnacentral:rRNA from 1 species